rnacentral:rRNA from 1 species
GAUGAACGCUGGCGGCGUGCCUAAUACAUGCAGGGCGAGCGAACGGACGAGAAGCUUGCUUCUCUGAUGUUAGCGGCGGACGGGUGAGUAACACGUGGAUAACCUACCUAUAAGACUGGGAUAACUUCGGGAAACCGGAGCUAAGACCGGAUAAUAGUUUGAACCGCAUGGUUCAAAAGUGAAAGACGGUCUUGCUGUCACUUAUAGAUGGAUCCGCGCUGCAUUAGCUAGUUGGUAAGGUAACGGCUUACCAAGGCAACGAUGCAUAGCCGACCUGAGAGGGAGAUGGGCUGCACUGGAACUGCGGCACGGUCCAGACUCCGACGGGAUGCGGCAGUCGGGAAUCCUUCGGGUUGGGCGACCGCCUGAGGGAGUCACGCCGCGUGACUAAUGAACGUCUUCGCAUCCUAGAACUAUGUCAUUAGGGAAGAGCUUAUGUGUAAGUAACUGUGCACAUCAUGACGGUACCUAAUAAGAAACCCACCGCUAACCACGUG